UCCCUGGCAGUCCAGUGGUUAAGACUCUGUGCUUCCAAUGCAGGAGACACAGGUUCAAUCCUUGUUUGGGGAG
rnacentral:tRNA from 1 species